rnacentral:rRNA from 1 species
UCAGCAGCCGCGGUAAUACGUAGGGGGCGAGCGUUGUCCGGAUUUAUUGGGCGUAAAGCGCGUGUAGGCGGCUUGGUAGGUCUGCUGUGAAAACUCGGGGCUCAACCCCGAGACGUCGGUGGAAACCACCUGGCUAGAGUCCGGAAGAGGAGAGUGGAAUUCCUGGUGUAGCGGUGAAAUGCGCAGAUAUCAGGAAGAACACCCGUGGCGAAGGCGGCUCUCUGGGACGGUACUGACGCUGAGACGCGAAAGCGUGGGGAGCGAACAGGAUUAGAUACCCUGGUAGUCCACGCCGUAAACGAUGGGUGCUAGGUGUGGGUGGUGUCGACUCCAUCCGUGCCGAAGCUAACGCAUUAAGCACCCCGCCUGGGGAGUACGGCCGCAAGGCUAAAACUCAAAGGAAUUGACGGGGGCCCGCACAAGU